UACGUAGGUGGCAAGCGUUGUCCGGAUUUACUGGGCGUAAAGAGCGCGUAGGCGGUCGUGCAAGUCGGGUGUGAAAGCCCCCGGCUCAACUGGGGAGGGUCACGCGAUACUGCUCGACUUGAAGGCAGGAGAGGGAAGUGGAAUUCCCGGUGUAGUGGUGAAAUGCGUAGAUAUCGGGAGGAACACCAGUGGCGAAGGCGACUUCCUGGCCUGUUCUUGACGCUGAGGCGCGAAAGCUAGGGUAGCAAACGGG
rnacentral:rRNA from 1 species